CUAGUAAUCGUGGAUCAGCAUGCCACGGUGAAUACGUUCCCGGGUCUUGUACACACCGCCCGUCACACCAUGGGAGCUGGUAACACCCGAAGUCCGUAGCCUAACCGCAAGGGGGGCGCGGCCGAAGGUGGGUUCGAUAAUUGGGGUGAAGUCGUAACAAGGUACC
rnacentral:rRNA from 1 species